UCUGGGUGCAGUGGUAGGUGCCUGCAGUCCCAGCUACUCGGGAGGCUGAGAUAGGGAGAUUGCUUGAGCCCAGGAGUUCUGGGCUAUAAUUCACUAUGCUGAUUAAGUGUCUGCACUAAGUUUGGCAUCAAUAUGGUGAUCUCCCAGGAGCAAGGGACCACCAGGUAGCCUAAGGAGGGGUGAACCAACCCAGGUAGAAUAUAGAGCAGGUCAAAACUCCUGUGCUGGCUGGGCGCCAUGGCUCACACCUGUAAUCCCAGCACUUUGGGAGGCUGAGGAGGGCAGAUCAUCCUAGCCAAUAUGGUGAAAUCCCAUCUCUA
ensembl:misc_RNA Metazoa_SRP Metazoan signal recognition particle RNA